rnacentral:rRNA from 1 species
AGAUCCCUUAUAUUAAUAAAGAAACUAAGGUUUCGCUCUUAGAAGCAUGUAUCUCGUGUAGUUGUAGUAGUUAAAGUAGUGGUUUAACUAGCCUUUUACACGUAGUCGAAACUGAAAGGUUGAUCGAUCACAGUGGGACUGAACAAAUCCCACGAUUAUUAUCACAGCAGUGAGGAAUAUUGGUCAAUAGCCUAACGGCUGAACCAGCAAUUUGGAAGAAUGUAUAGCAAUAGCUGAUUGCACCAACAAACAGUUGAUGCAAAAUUGAUUAUAUCAAAUAAAAUUCUAGGUAGAUUUUUGAUAAUGACAUUGCUUACCUAAGUCUUGACCAAAUUACGUGCCAGCAGUCGCGGUAAUACGUAAAAGACUAGUGUUAUUCAUCUUUAAUUGGUUUAAAGGGUACCUAGACAGCGAAUAAAGCCAUUGUAGGGACUGAUUCGCUAGAGUUACUUAUGAGGGGGUAUUAAAGUACUGCAGGUGUAGAGAUGAAAUUUUGUUAUACCUCUUUUCGUAUGAGAAACUAUGGCACAGGUAUAGGUGAAAGCAUCCCCUUAUGUGAUAACUGACGUUGAGGGACGAAGGCUUUGUAUCGCGAACAGGAUUAGAUACCCCAAUAGUCAAAGCAGAAAAUGAUGAAUGUCAUAGAUUAGAUAUACAAUUUAUUCUAUAAAUGAAAGUGUAAGCAUUCCACCUCAAGAGUAAUUUGGCAACAUUGGAACUGAAAUCAUUAGACCGUUUCUGAAACCAGUAGUGAAGUAUGUUGUUUAAUUUGAUGAUACGCAAAAAACCUUACCACAAUUUGAAUAUUUAUAUAUAUCUUUUAUUGAUUUUUACUAACAUAUAUGUAGACAAUUAAAAUGAUGCUUAUUUCUCGUUUGUGAGACUAAGCAUCAAAAAAGAUAGUAUAUUUACAAGCGUUGCACGGCUGUCUUCAGUUAAUGUCGUGAGAUUUUGGUUAGUUCCAUUAAAUUAACGUAAACCCUUACUUUAUUUUUAUAUAAAGUAGUUCUCCGCUAUAUUGGAUAUGAUAA